GGGCAGCCCAGCGGGUGAGAA
rnacentral:miRNA from 1 species